AACUUCCUCCCAUAUUUCAUGAAGAUCUAUCUCCUGCAAAGGUUUGAGACCAAGGCGAGAAAGUCCAGAAUGGCUAAAUUUCUCAAAGAGUAAAUAUUUGUCCGCAGAAGCAUUUCCUUCACAUCUCAUAAUCCCAUUGCAAGACAAGGUAUUUAUGCUUGACUCCGCUGCUGAACUAUCAUCUGCAAAACAAAUUUUGAGUAAAUUUACAGUCCUAUGCACAUGGAUUUUUAAGCAAACUAAAUGGUGUUGUUAAAUUAUUUAGGCUUAAUAAUAAAAAAUAACCCAAAAUUUUCAUGGAAAAUAAUCCAACCAACCUUUUAUUGUAGUAAUUUAAACCCUAAUCUUUCAUGGUUAAUUGCAAUUCUACCCACGUUAAAAUUGAAAGAAAAAACAAUAUUGUUUUGUUAUUGAUUAAUAGGUCAAAUUGGCCAUCAAAGUCUUACUAGAUUGUUCGUUUAGUUUUAAAUUUUGAAUUACAGUCAAUCAAGCUCUUCAAUUUUGCAAUUAUUUAGACUACCACUAGAUAAACUAAUGAUUAAGAUAAUUCGCAAAAUUAAAGAGUUUAACUGACUCCAAUCACAAUAUAAGACUAAAUUGACAAUGAAGUGCAUUCUGGUUGAUCUUCUCACUAACAUGAAAAGUGGAAGGUCUCAAGUUCGAGUUUUCUCAACCAUAAAGAGUUUUUAUCAAUUUGGUGAAUCAAGGGAAAAGCUACCCCUAUUGUGUAACACAUCAUGUUAUUUCAACCCAUUAGACCUCUCAAUGAAUAAAAAAAAUUAAGAAUAAAUUGGCAAUCUGGCAUUAAAUCAAGUGUCAAUUUGUCCUUUUUACUAUUAACAAUUUAUAAUAAAUUUUUUUCUUUUUUCCUUUCAAUUUAAACCUACACUAGAAUUGUCACUAACUUUGAAAAGUUAGGGUUUGAUUUAUUAAAUUAAAAUGAAUGGUAAAACUGCAAAUUCGGGAAAAGUUAGGUUAGUUUUGAAUUUCGAUCAUCAAUGUAUAAAGGUCAAUGUUGGGGUGGGCAGCGGAAGAUAGAGCAAUUACAUGAAGAGUCUUUCAGCUCCGGAUUUAAGUUACUCAUUUGAUGAUAUUGGUCAAAUUUGUCUUAAAUUGCAAAUUUAUUCAAUAAAAGUUAUUUGUCUUUGAAAAAAGUGUCCCCAAAGCACAAGUCAGUACCCGCUUUGCAAAUGUUGGGGAAGGACAUAUAUUAUAUUAUGUAUUGAGAAAAAAAGAAAGUCAUUUCAUUUCCUUGAUAAAGAAAAUAUUUUAAGGUGUGGGUCCUCUCUUAUUUUUAUGUUGGUAUUCAUUCGUCAAAUUUCCUUCUUGCAAAAGGAUGGAAGAAUCAAGGGAAAAUUACUAUUACAUCCCUAUGUUAUUGCAAAAUUAAUCACUCCAUCCUCGACAUUUAAUAGUGAAAAGCUUUAAAAGUGAACAGAACCACCACUUAAUUGAUGAAACCAAACAUUAAGGAUAAAGUAGUGUAUUUUUUAAAAAAGCAGCGGAGUAAUUAAUUUUGGCAUACUAUAGGGAUGUAAUAAUAAUUUUCCCAAGAAUCAAUUGAAUGCUAUAAAACAUUCAUGAAUUCACUGGCUUACCUGUUUUAGAUUCUCUAGGCUGUACAGAGACACAGUUACAAUCCAUUUCAGAAAUACUCUGGGGCAGUUUAUUUUCUCCAUGACGCAAUGCAGAAUGGAGAAUCUUCCUUUGCUGCUGUCGACGCAGGGCCUUUCCUUGACGCCCAAUUGAAGGACUUGCUUUC
rnacentral:lncRNA from 1 species